rnacentral:rRNA from 1 species
UGUUGGGUUAAGUCCCGCAACGAGCGCAACCCCUAUUGUUAGUUGCCAGCACAUUAUGGUGGGGACUCUAACAAGACUGCCUACGCAAGUAGAGAGGAAGGAGGGGACGACGUCAAGUCAUCAUGGCCCUUACGCCCAGGGCUACACACGUGCUACAAUGGUGCGCACAGAGGGCUGCAAACCCGCGAGGGGGAGCCAAUCUCACAAAACGCAUCGUAGUCCGGAUCGGAGUCUGCAACUCGACUCCGUGAAGUCGGAAUCGCUAGUAAUCGCGGAUCAGAAUGCCGCGGUGAAUACGUUCCCGGGCCUUGUACACACCGCCCGUCACACCAUGGGAGUGGAUUGCACCAGAAGUGGCUAGUCUAACUACGGAGGACGGUCACCACGGUGUGGUUCAUGACUGGGGUGAAGUCGUAACAAGGUAGCCGUAGGGGAACCUGCGGCUGGAUCACCUCCUU